rnacentral:lncRNA from 1 species
GUCACGAAAGCUUAUAUUAAACUAAAAAUCAAACGGGUUCAAACGAUUACAACCGGAGUUAAUCUCAACGGCUAGACAAUAAACGAAAAGUAGAGCGAUAAGUGUGUUAAAGGGGCGAAGAUACCCAUAGAGAUGCUUCACUUGAAACCCUGAAACUGAUGUUCCAAAGAACAUACUAAAGUCGGAGUAUGAACCGACGACGGGGGACCCUAAACAG